rnacentral:rRNA from 1 species
GAUGAACGCUAGCGGCAGGCUUAAUACAUGCAAGUCGAGGGGCAGCAUGACUGUAGCAAUACAGUUGAUGGCGACCGGCAAACGGGUGCGGAACACGUACAGAACCUUCCUUCGAGCGGGGAAUAGCCCAGAGAAAUUUGGAUUAAUACCCCAUAGUAUAUUUGAAAGGCAUCUUUUAAAUAUUAAAGAUUUAUCACUUGAAGAUGGCUGUGCGGCUGAUUAGGUAGUUGGCGGGGUAACGGCCCACCAAGCCUGCGAUCAGUAACUGGUGUGGGAGCACGACCAGUCACACGGGCACUGGGACACGGGCCCGACUCCUACGGGAGGCGGCAGUAAGGAAUAUUGGUCAAUGGACGAAAGUCUGAACCAGCCAUGCCGCGUGGAGGAUGAAGGUCCUCUGGAUUGUAAACUUCUUUUAUAUGGGACGAAAAAAGGCUUUUCUAAGUCGUCUGACGGUACCAUAUGAAUAAGCACCGGCUAACUCCGUGCCAGCAGCCGCAGUAA